GUGGACGCUGGCGGUAGGCCUAACACAUGCAAGUCGAACGGCAGCACAGUAAGAGCUUGCUCUUACGGGUGGCGAGUGGCGGACGGGUGAGGAAUACAUCGGAAUCUACUUUUUCGUGGGGGAUAACGUAGGGAAACUUACGCUAAUACCGCAUACGACCUACGGGUGAAAGCAGGGGAUCUUCGGACCUUGCGCGAUUGAAUGAGCCGAUGUCGGAUUAGCUAGUUGGCGGGGUAAAGGCCCACCAAGGCGACGAUCCGUAGCUGGUCUGAGAGGAUGAUCAGCCACACUGGAACUGAGACACGGUCCAGACUCCUACGGGAGGCAGCAGUGGGGAAUAUUGGACAAUGGGCGCAAGCCUGAUCCAGCCAUACCGCGUGGGUGAAGAAGGCCUUCGGGUUGUAAAGCCCUUUUGUUGGGAAAGAAAAGCAGCAGGUUAAUACCCCGCUGUUCUGACGGUACCCAAAGAAUAAGCACCGGCUAACUUCGUG
rnacentral:rRNA from 1 species